rnacentral:rRNA from 1 species
GGAAUCUUGCGCAAUGGGCGAAAGCUUGACGCAGCAACGCCGCGUGGGUGAUGAAGGCCUUCGGGUCGUAAAGCCCUGUCGGAGGGAACGAAUUCUUCCUGGGUUAACAAUCCAGGGAAGUGACGGUACCCUCCACGGAAGCACCGGCUAACUCCGUGCCAGCAGCCGCGGUAAUACGGAGGGUGCAAGCGUUGUUCGGAAUCAUUGGGCGUAAAGGGCGUGUAGGCGGUCUGCUAAGUCAUGUGUGAAAGCCCUCGGCUCAACCGAGGAAUGGCGCAUGAAACUGGCAAGCUAGAGUACCAAAGAGGGGGGUGGAAUUCCAGGUGUAGCGGUGAAAUGCGUAGAUAUCUGGAGGAACACCGGUGGCGAAGGCGGCCUCCUGGUUGGAUACUGACGCUGAGACGCGAAAGCGUGGGGAGCAAA